GGCUAAUACGGAUGUGCCGGAAGGUGAAAGGCUUGCUGCCUGAAGAUGAGCUCGCGUCUGAUUAGCUAGUAGGUGGGGCUUGAGCCUACCUAGGCGACGAUCAGUAGCUGGUCUGAGAGGAUGACCAGCCACUCUGGGACU
rnacentral:rRNA from 1 species